AAUAUACACAUUUUCGCUGAGCAAUUUCCUGAAAUACAAUGCUUUUUGUAUGUUGUUUUCACAAAUAUAAGCAUUUCAGCACACAACUUUGCCCUAGGCCUUUAGAGAUGAAGUGAACACAAAUUUCUCCCCCUCACUAUCAGGGCUGUUGAUGAAACAAUCAUGACCUCCAAAGCUGACCUUAAGGCCCAGGCCCGUUUGUGUGGAAGUCAAUUCAAGUGGUGAUUCCCACACACACCCAAGGAAGUGUGUAUCUGUGUGUGUAAAAUAGACACCAAAAAUUUAAGCGCCGGAUUAAACUGCGGCAUCAACCGCGCUGGGGGAAACUGGGGUCAGAAUCUAGGGCUGACCCCGAUAGAAUCAGCAGGAGACCCCCCAGAUUCACUUCAGGGGGGGGAACUCAGGUCUCCCAAUCUCGCCCACCCAUCUGCCUCUCCCUUCCUUCGCAGCGCCUAGUGCCAGAGAGACCUUUUGUGAUCGCCUAGCGGCUGAAAUCCAACCUCCCCUUUGACACAUUAAUAAGUCAGCGCUUCAAACCAACUCACAAGGCAACCUCUCCCUGAGCUGUUUAAAACCCUCUUGCGUGGCGAUUAGCUCCCGGUAAUCAGGGCGCCAAAGCAUCAAGGCUUCAUCCCAAGGCGUUCAAGAAGAAACUCUAGAUGCAGAAAGGGCGAUUCUUUUGCCGCAAACAGCAACUGGCCGAGGGUCCCCGCGGAGCGCUGGGACCUUUAAGGAUGACCCUGCACCUCUAGAUUCUCCACCUGGAUGUCCCCAGCGAUUCCCCGGCUCUAAAACCCACCAAGGAAGGCAUUUGGGGUGUAUAAAAAAGCCAGGUGGCUCGCGUCUGCGAAGCCCUGCAGGAGAGCGGAGAAUUUGAGCGCCUCGCCCGCUUCCUGUGGUCCCUCCCGCCGUCGCUCGCCCUACGGCACCCCGAAGGCCUCGGCUGCACUCACGCCAAUUGCCAUGACUUGGAGUUGUUCAGCAGCCCGAUUCCCUCGGCUGCGUGGUUGGCGCCCUACUGCAGCCAGGCCACUGUGGCCACCUACCACCUGGAACCGUUCGGCGCCCUGCGGCCCGGAGACAGGUUCUCGAUACAUCCGCCAGACCGAUCACCUGCCCGGAAGAAGGUCCCUGGUCUGCCGAGGGAUUCCUGCCAAGAUGGGGAGCAGAAAGUGAAUGGCUUCAAGGAAAGGACGCGGAACCUCCUGCGGGAGUGGUACCUCCAGGAUCCGUACCCUAACCCUUCCCGCAAGAGGCACCUGGCCCAGGCGACAGGGCUCACCCCCACCCAAGUGGGGAACUGGUUUAAAAACCGCCGGCAGAGAGACCGCGCAGCAUCAGCCAAGCACAGGCUGCAAAAGGAGCCGUCAACCCAGCCUAGAGACGUCCAAACCGAGACCCUAAACAGCAAGCUGUGCUUGGAGGAAGAGAGCAGCGCACCUGGGGAGCAGACGGAUCCCACCACAGCCACCAGUGACGAUGAAAACAGCCAAAGAGCAGGGGAGACCUGGGAAGACUGAUCCAGCCGAGGGGUUCUCUGUUCAACAGAAAUGACUGGCUGGGGUGUGUGGGAGACGCAGGGCACGACCAAUGGGAAUGAGAUGCAGUCAUCACGAACCCCAUUACUUAUGGAAUGGGGUUGGGGAGGUUUUAAGGAAAGGGAACCAGGUGCAAGAUUGAGGGUGUGGCAGGAAUUGUGGGAACGGAGAGUUUAUUGGCUAACUUCCCUGUUAUCCCGCUUGCCUUCCCCUGAGCAGCUUUGCAGCGCUGGCGUCCUUCGAAGGAGAUAAAACUGGAGUCUUGUUGCCACUUUACAAAAAAUAGGUUUAUUUGCCUCGAGAGAAGGGGCGCCAGGACCCGGGCUUAAGAAGUACAGCAGUGAAGACUCCAGGCUUUCUUCUCUCAAGCCUGCCUUGGGCAGCAUCUAAUUUAACCAGAAUGAAACAAUAAGCCUCCCCAGAUCUUGACUUCACACCACCAGGCCCUUUUGUAGUUCUCUGGGUCCUAAACCAGUGGGAGGGCAGGGCUCCCUGCUCAUGAAGGCAUCCAGGAUGACGGUGUUGCUGAGUCUGUAGCCAGGACUGGAGAGAAGAGGGCGAGGAGGAGCCAGGAGUGAGGGGAGAGGAAAUAGAUUUGGGAGGUUUCGGAGUUAAAGCAAAAGUGAAUGAGAAGUCAGGAGAGUAAGAGAACAUAUAUGGGGGUAUUUGUAGAUUAAAAAGAGGUCUGGGGCAGGGGUUAAGGAUGGAUGCACCUAUAUCAGUGAUGCUCUUGCUGAUUUUGGUCCAAAGGAAUGUCUGUUAAAUAACUGACAGCGCCAAUCACCUUUUGAGGAACGAUCGAAAGCAGCUUUCCGCACCUUUUUGGUCACUGGGUGUACUUUGUGGGAGACAUACCAGCAGCCAGGGCACUUGCAGCCGCACCUAGGGGUUGGGGCCCAGCCACUGUGUCCAUGAAGCUUUCGGCUAAACCCUUUGCAUCCCUCCAUCCCUCAGUUGAAACAAGAUGUCCGUACAGGUAACCUGCAUCUCCUUGCAUUAAUUCCUUGUUUAGUUUGGCUCAUCCCUCCGAUUUCAUCCUCUGCCACAUAAAUUUAGAUUGAGGUCUUCCCCGGAGGGGCGGGGGCUGCAGAGGCCUGUCUUUCAGGGUUGUUUGUUUAUCUCUCUCUGUGUAAACUGCUGAGUAUAUUUACGGCACAGUAUCAAUAAAACGAUUCUAUUCUAAUAUCUGGAGAGCGCCACUAAAAAUGCCAGCGCCGCAUUAAUAAAUGAUGGUGGCUUUGCAUUCCAGAGGCGAUGCGUCACUUAAAAACAAACAAAGGGAUGCUCAAGUGGCUCCCUAUUGCAGGCAUGAGGUUGAGAAGAGAAGCGUUUGGAAUGAGAAGGAAUGAAGGGAUACAGCUCUGAGCAACGCUUUCCAAAGGCUGGAACCCUGUGUAAUAAGAAGAGCUAAGGCAGGGGUCAGCAAACUUUUUCAGCAGGGGGCUGGUCCACUGUCCCUCAGAUUUUGUGGGGAG